GACGAACGCUGGCGGCGUGCUUAACACAUGCAAGUCGAACGGAAAGGCCCUGCUUUUGUGGGGUGCUCGAGUGGCGAACGGGUGAGUAACACGUGAGUAACCUGCCCUUGACUUUGGGAUAACUUCAGGAAACUGGGGCUAAUACAGGCUAGGAGCUCCUGAUGCAUGGUGGGGGUUGGAACGUUUCGGCGGUAGGGGAUGGACUCGCGGCUUAUCAGCUUGUUGGUGGGGUAGUGGCUUACCAAGGCUUAGACGGGUAGCCGGCCCGGGAGGGGGACCGGCGACAUGGGGCCUACGAUACGGACCAGAGGCCAACGUUAGGCAGUAGUGGGGAACAUUGCACAGUGGGGGGAAGCCUGAUGCAGCAACGCCGCGUGCGGGAUGACGGCCUUCGGGUUGUAAACCGCUUUCGCCUGUGACGAAGCGUGAGUGACGGUAACGGGUAAAGAAGCACCGGCUAACUACGUG
rnacentral:rRNA from 1 species